UGGCUAGUUUGGCUGUUUGAGCUUGCAUCAGUAGAUUCCAAAAUGAUCAGGGUAGCCGGAUACGUAUAAAGGAAAACAAAACAAUUUUCUUUUGUGGACUAACAUUUUUACUAUUAUCCAGCUAUCAUCUUUCAUUUUUAUACUUUAUUAGAGUUAACCGAAUAAAUUGGAACAUAACCAUUCAAUUUAUAGAUUGUACAUUUAUAUAAAUCGUUAGUCACUGGUUCAAUCAUACAUAUGUGAUUAAGUAUACUUUAAAUUAUAUCCAUUUAUUUAC
rnacentral:lncRNA from 1 species